rnacentral:rRNA from 1 species
UACGAAGGUGGCAAGCGUUGUUCGGAUUUACUGGGCGUACAGGGAGCGUAGGCGGUUGGGUAAGCCCUCCGUGAAAUCUCCGGGCCUAACCCGGAAAGUGCGGAGGGGACUGCUCGGCUAGAGGAUGGGAGAGGAGCGCGGAAUUCCCGGUGUAGCGGUGAAAUGCGUAGAGAUCGGAGGAAGGCCGGUGGCGAAGGCGGCGCUCUGGAACAUUUCUGACGCUGAGGCUCGAAAGCGUGGGGAGCAAACAGG